rnacentral:tRNA from 1 species
UCCAGGGUAGCCUAGUGGACAUGGCAUCUGCCAUGCAAACGGAAUACUGUGGGUUAGAUUCCCAUCCCUGGAC